rnacentral:rRNA from 1 species
AAAGAUUAAGCCAUGCAUGUCUAAGUAUAAGCAAUCUAUACUGUGAAACUGCGAAUGGCUCAUUAAAUCAGUUAUCGUUUAUUUGAUAGUACCUUACUACAUGGAUACCUGUGGUAAUUCUAGAGCUAAUACAUGCUAAAAACCCCGACUUCGGGAGGGGUGUAUUUAUUAGAUAAAAAACCAAUGCCCCUCGGGGCUCCUUGGUGAAUCAUAAUAACUUAACGAAUCGCAUGGCCUUGCGCCGGCGAUGGUUCAUUCAAAUUUCUGCCCUAUCAACUUUCGAUGGUAGGAUAGUGGCCUACCAUGGUGGCAACGGGUAACGGGGAAUUAGGGUUCGAUUCCGGAGAGGGAGCCUGAGAAACGGCUACCACAUCCAAGGAAGGCAGCAGGCGCGCAAAUUACCCAAUCCCGACACGGGGAGGUAGUGACAAUAAAUACUGAUACGGGGCUCUUUUGGGUCUCGUAAUUGGAAUGAGAACAAUCUAAAUCCCUUAACGAGGAACAAUUGGAGGGCAAGUCUGGUGCCAGCAGCCGCGGUAAUUCCAGCUCCAAUAGCGUAUAUUAAAGUUGUUGCAGUUAAAAAGCUCGUAGUUGAACCUUGGGUUCGGCUGGCCGGUCCGCCUCACCGCGAGUACUGGUCCGGCUGGACCUUUCCUUCUGGGGAACCUCAU